GCCUGGGUGGCUCAGUCGGUUGAGCCACUGACUUGGGCUCAGGUCAUGAUCUCAUGGUUUGUGAGUUCAAGCCCCACAUCGGGCU
rnacentral:tRNA from 1 species